AAAAUAAUAUUUACAAAGCACUAUUCUGAGAAGUAAGUUUCAUCAAGUUUUUAUUUUGAAAUUGGUUUCUCAAGUGUCAUCAGUUCUUAAGAUGAUAAUGAAUGAGAUUAAAAUUCCUUUUGAAGACAGACCACUUUUUUUAAGUCCCAAAUUUCUAGAAGUCCAACAGUUGGUUCAUUUGAAAUUUGAAUUAGUCUUGAAAAAGCUCAGAUUUCUUUUUGAAAUGUGACGUUGAACAAAAAAAACUCCAGCCUAUGGAGGAGAGUUCUUAAGUGCUUUUUAGAAGCACGGACAAGAAUGAAUCUCAUACUGGAGUGGGAGGUACAGAACAGACACAAUCUGAAUAGAAGAAACGGGUUCUAUUUUCAGACCCCUGGAGAAUGACCCAGCCACUGCAGUGCUUGGAAAAUCUUGUGAUGUGAUGGUUCCUACAUCAUCUUCUGGUAAAUGAAUCAUUCUUACUAUUUCAGUCAUCAUCCCCUCUAGUCUUGAGGGUCUAGAUCUCUCCUUAUUUACUUCUUUUACAAAAGAAAUUACUUCCUCCUUCAGGACUGAGUUGGUCUCUUCAAUUUUACAUAUGUGUCCACGAGACUUUGUAUCUUUUAUGACUCCUAUUCUAGGCUGGUAUCUUCUAAAAAUUACUCAGUAUCUAAAUAUUCCUUUUGAUCAGAACUAAGUAUGUCAAGAAAUGGAUGCUUCAUCAGAACUGGUGCAGCCAGUAUUUGCACAACCUCCAUUUUCUUUCCCAAAAGUCAGCUCCUAACCUAAUGCAUAAGUCUGAACAAAUAUGAGAGGCCCACCAAAAAGCCAAUAACAGAUACACACACCACUGACUUCCACUGGAGACUACUGUAGUCAAUGCCUAGCCUCAUGUCAUCUGGAAGCAGCUCUGCUACCACUUGUUGUGACUUCCCCAGGAUCAGCUGAAAGGCAGGCUCCAUAGUGGCACACAAUGCCUGUGUGGCACUGAAGCCCCCAACAGAAUUCCAGUGGGUAACCAUAGCUCCCAUAGCCUACAACAAACUGCUCAGAAUCCCAUCGUGUUCUGCCUGGAACCCACACACCCACAUCUGCCAAACUAAAUCAAUAACAAUCGAGCCAGUCCAAGUGGAGGAUAGGCCUCUUCCCCUGGGACACCCUGGGCCUGGGCAGUGUCCUGCACUCCAGACUUCUUCAGCUUCAGCUCUGUCUUCAGGUACUAGAGCUCUUGCUACAGCUGCUGGCAGUUCUGGGAGAACCCUGGGAAGACUUUAAAAUACAGCAGGACUUCAUUUCCAGAGAUUCUACCUUAAUCCAUCUGGUGUGGGCCUGAGAAUCAAUUUCUUGUCAACGCUUCCCAGGUGAUUCUAAUGUGCAGUCAAUAGUGAGGAAACUGUGCUCUGAGCCUUAGAGUACAAGUCAACUGCCUAA
rnacentral:lncRNA from 1 species